UUAGAGUUGUGAGAGUAAUCCACAAACUGUUUUAUAGUCUGUGAGAAAAUAGAGUGGGAGUAAUAUUGUGGUGAGAUAUUUAAGACAAAGAGUGUUAUUUCUUUUGAGUCAUAAUAGUCUUUUGACACUACAAAGUUAUAAUAUUAUAGUGAUAUUAUAUUGCUCCUCUCAGGUAUUGUAUUUUACCCCGUUAAAAGAUUUGGUAUCAUUGUUACUCUCUUGUUUCAUUAUUAUUUAUCGUGGAUAUUAUUUCUAGGCGGGAUAUUAUUUUUCCCCAACAAAGGAUUGUUCAUUUGGCAGAGGGAUUGCCCGGGUGCUGUCAUAGACUUUAGGAAUAUUUUAGAUAGUGACACACUUGGUAUCGAAGCCUAGGUAUAAAUUCCUAUGAGUAUCAAUACAGACUUGUUUAUGAGAAUGUACAUGUCCUCACUUCUAAGCGAUAGGCUAUUGAGGCUUUUAGAAAAAUUUCCAUUGUUUCAUUCUUUUAUAGUAUGAUAGGCUCAAGCAAGUAAUUUAACUCGUCCUGUAUUAUAUCCCACAUUUGGUGAGAAAUCGAUCCGCUACUCAAAUUGAACUAAACAUUUCACCUGAGAUGCAGGAAGCACCGAGUAGGAAGGGCAAGCGCAGGAGAUAGACCAUGACAUAGAUAGCUGCACAACGUAGGGCUAGAGCCACCACUGCUACCAGAUCCAGGUAUGUCCGCUCGUGCCGGUAGAUAGAGAUUUUCCUACUAGCUGCAUUGACCGGAGACUUCAAGCUAUGCCUGCUCGGCAUCCGAAGGCCUCAGAGUCCCUUUCCCUUAUUCUUAGUUACUGUUGUAUUUUCUCGCAAAUAGUGAUGUAUCAGAUGUAUUAGUUAUUCCAUAGUGCGUAUGACUCUAUUCCAUAAUUCUUGGGAAUUGUAUGGUUGAGAUUUUGCUUUUUAG